GGAGGUCAUCCGUACCCAUCAAUGAAGGAAGACCCAUGUCCCCCUGUAGUGGACUUGAACCAGGACCCCCCAACCAGUAAAGACUCCUCCAGUGCACCGGUGUAUGUCUGAUAUCUGUGAAUAUCUGGUGCAAGUUUGUGAUAUCUGUUGAUGUCUGUUUGUCGUAUAUCCAUGUACGUCAGAUAUUAGCAUAUUCUAACAAUAAGUGGCACUAUCAGAAGUGCUUACUUUGGAGUCUUUUCAGGACGUUAGAAGCACCCAAAUUCUUAACUUGUAAUCACUUUGAAUUCGUAAACCAUAUCAUAACCUAUUAUUUAACUUGAAAGGAAUUUAAAUUUUUUAAGGAACAAUGUUUUUCAACUAUUGUGAACAAAGAAUAAAAAUGGGUGAAUUUUUUCUUACAAGGAUAAUUGGAAUGAGUCAUAUUUAGUAAGGAGGAGUGUCCUCCAUUUUUAUUGCCUGGUAAACUAAGGCCAUUAUGUCUGUGUCACGUCAUUUUGACGACUCGGGGCAGAUGCCUUUUGGUCAUAGAGGGGUGCACGAGGAACACAUGUCUUUCAUUUAAUACAUUAUUAACAAGAAGUUAUUUGUUAAUCAAGGUCUUUCAAAUGUUUGUUUUGUAUUCUGUAUGUAGUGAAUCUAGUGUUGUAUAAACAAGACAGGGUGAUGCUAAUUAGUGGAAAGUACACCAUUGUACAAACAUUAUUAUAUUAAUAUAUAUAUCUAAUUCAUUCAAAAAGUUCACUGUUGACAAUUAAAGUAGAGAUAUUUUCUUUAUCAAUAAACUUAAAACGUGAAAAGAAUCUUGUAUGUAGAUAUUAAGAAAACAUUGUUUUUAUGGUGGGAGAAAAUACUGAGAUUUCGGAACAUCGAAACGAUGGGAAUAUUUUAAGGGCUUAGCAAGACGACUUCUUUAUAUUCAAGUCACAAAAAAGGCAAAGAUUGGUCACAAUCAUGUAGAAAUAUUACACAUGAAACAGGAUUUCUGAGAAUCGACUCGCUGUGGUCAUACCUGAGGAUGCUAGAACCUCACUCUGUUGUGUACUCUGCUAUUUUAUGUUCUUUAUUUGGAAAGAAUUUGGAAUUUUACAAGAAUCCCUAAUGCAGCAAUGCUAAUAGCUUUUUAUAUGAAACUAAAGAUAUUGUUCAAUAGCAAUCAGAGAGAGAGAGAGAGAGAGAGAGAGAGAGAGAGAGAGAGAGAGAGAGAGGAGAGAGAGAUGGUUGUGUUUUGAUUAAAUGUUAAGUUUGAAUGUAUUGUUGAUUUUUUAUCAUGUUCUCCCUAUAGGAGAGGUGAAUUUGUUGCCUUAGUAUUUUUGCAUUGUUUAUGAAUGGGGCAUUAGGGGCUUUGUGACUGCUAUUGAACAACUAUUUCCCCCCAAACCCCGUUCCCAUUCACCCCCUCCUAACCUCAUGAUCAUUGUAAAUACUCAUCCUAUCAUUAUUAUGUAAAGUUGUGAUAUAUAUCUUUUUAAGCUUAGAGCUUAUGAUGAACGACAAGGUGCAUUAUCUGUAGAUUUCAGUGUUUUUUUAUUUAUGUACAGAGGUGAAUGCAAAGCAUCCUGGGAUUGUACAGAUGUGGUCAAAAGUGUAAAUAUUGUACAGUGUAAAACUAAAAUGUCCGACCACAUUAUUGUCUGAGGGUAUGUACAGAACUAAACAAAACUAUAAAGGGAAUAUGUAAAGUAUACUGGCAAUAUUCUCAAAUAAAAUAUAAAAAUCUG
rnacentral:sRNA from 1 species